rnacentral:rRNA from 1 species
CGUAAAGCGCGUGUAGGCGGCCAGGCAAGUCGGGUGUGAAAUCCCCGGGCUCAACCUGGGAACUGCCAUUGUGACUGCAAGGCUGGAGUACGGCAGAGGGGGAUGGAAUUCCGCGUGUAGCAGUGAAAUGCGUAGAUAUGCGGAGGAACACCGAUGGCGAAGGCAGUCCCCUGGGCCUGUACUGACGCUCAUGCACGAAAGCGUGGGGAGC